rfam:Hordeum vulgare subsp. vulgare, WGS project CAJW01000000 data, contig: morex_contig_137345
GUCUUACUGCCUCCAUCCUAAAUUUUUUGUCUUAAAUUUGUUUAGAUACGAAUGUAUCUAGUCAAGUUUUAAUAUUUAAAUACAUUCAUUUAUGAGCAAAGCUAAGACAAGAAUUUUAGGAUGGAGGAAGUAUUUA